rnacentral:tRNA from 1 species
UCCCGGCUAGCUCAGUCGGUAGAGCGUCAGACUCUUAUCACGUAAGAAGCUCCGAGCACGAGCUCGGAUCCAAAUCUGAAUGUCGAGGGUUCGAGCCCCUCGUUGGGAG